rnacentral:rRNA from 1 species
CCUACGGGAGGCUGCAGUGGGGAAUAUUGGACAAUGGGCGAAAGCCUGAUCCAGCCAUGCCGCGUGUGUGAAGAAGGCCUUCGGGUUGUAAAGCACUUUCAGUGGGGAAGAAAGCCUUGGGGCUAAUACCCUCGAGGAAGGACAUCACCCACAGAAGAAGCACCGGCUAACUCCGUGCCAGCAGCCGCGGUAAUACGGAGGGUGCGAGCGUUAAUCGGAAUUACUGGGCGUAAAGCGCGCGUAGGCGGUCUGAUAAGCCGGUUGUGAAAGCCCCGGGCUCAACCUGGGAACGGCAUCCGGAACUGUCAGGCUAGAGUGCAGGAGAGGAAGGUAGAAUUCCCGGUGUAGCGGUGAAAUGCGUAGAGAUCGGGAGGAAUACCAGUGGCGAAGGCGGCCUUCUGGACUGACACUGACGCUGAGGUGCGAAAGCGUGGGUAGCAAACAGGAUUAGAUACCCCAGUAGUU